rnacentral:rRNA from 1 species
UACGGAGGGUGCAAGCGUUAAUCGGAAUUACUGGGCGUAAAGCGUGCGCAGGCGGUUUGUUAAGUCUGCUGUGAAAUCCCCGAGCUCAACUUGGGAAUUGCAGUGGAUACUGGCAAGCUGGAGUACGGUAGAGGAAGGUGGAAUUCCCGGUGUAGCAGUGAAAUGCGUAGAGACCCGGAGGAACACCGGUGGCGAAGGCGGCUUCCUGGUCUGCAACUGACGCUGUGGCGCGAAAGCUAGGGGAGCAAACGGG